rnacentral:rRNA from 1 species
UACGAAGGGGGCUAGCGUUGUUCGGAAUCACUGGGCGUAAAGCGCACGUAGGCGGAUCUUUAAGUCAGGGGUGAAAUCCCGAGGCUCAACCUCGGAACUGCCUUUGAUACUGGGAUCUCGAGUCCGGAGAGGUGAGUGGAACUACGAGUGUAGAGGUGAAAUUCGUAGAUAUUCGCAAGAACACCAGUGGCGAAGGCGGGUCUCUGGCCGAUACUGACGCUGAGGAGCGAAGCGUGGGAGCGAACAGG